GUGCAUCCGACGACUUCUGAUUCGCGAUUACUAGCAACUCCAGCUUCAUGUAGGCGAGUUUCAGCCUACAAUCCGAACUGAGACUGGUUUUAAAGUUUGGCUCCACCUCACGGUUUAGCAUCUCUCUGUACCAGCCAUUGUAGCACGUGUGUAGCCCUAGACAUAAGGGGCAUGAUGAUUUGACGUCAUCCCCACCUUCCUCCCGGUUAACCCGGGCAGUCUCGCUAGAGUGCUCAACUUAAUGGUAGCAACUAACAAUAAGGGUUGCGCUCGUUGCGGGACUUAACCCAACAUCUCACGACACGAGCUGACGACAACCAUGCACCACCUGUCUUCCUGCCCCGAAGGGCUUCCUCCAUUACAGAGUAAUUCAGGAGAUGUCAAGUCUAGGUAAGGUUCC
rnacentral:rRNA from 1 species